GCAAGUCGAACGAGAAGCAUUUCUUCGGAUUUGUGGAAAGUGGCGAACGGGUGCGUAACACGUGAGCAAUCUGCACUAAAGUACGGAAUAGACUGUCGAAAGAUGGAUUAAUGCCGUAUGUGACUUUUUACCGCAUGGUAAACCUGUUAAAGCUUGUAAUGGCGCUUUAGGAUGAGCUCGCGGCCUAUCAGCUUGUUGGUGAGGUAAUAGCUUACCAAGGCUAAGACGGGAAGCUGGUCUGAGAGGAUGAUC
rnacentral:rRNA from 1 species